rnacentral:rRNA from 1 species
AAUCAACGCUGGCGGCGUGCCUCAGACAUGCAAGUCGAACGAUUAAAGCUCUCUUCGGAGAGUGUAUAGAGUGGCGCACGGGUGGGUAACACGUAAGUAAUCUACCCUCGAGUGGGGAAUAACAACCGGAAACGGUUGCUAAUACCGCAUAAUGCAGCGGCACCGCAAGGUGACAGUUGUUAAAGAUUUAUCGCUUGAGGAGGAGCUUGCGGCAGAUUAGCUAGUUGGUAGGGUAACGGCUUACCAAGGCUACGAUCUGUAACCGGUCUAAGAGGACGGUCGGUCACACUGACACUGAAUAACGGGUCAGACUCCUACGGGAGGCAGCAGUCGGGAAUUUUGGGCAAUGGGCGAAAGCCUGACCCAGCAACGCCGCGUGAAGGAUGAAGUAUUUCGGUAUGUAAACUUCGAAAGAAUAGGAAGAAUUAAUGACGGUACUAUUUAUAAGGUCCGGCUAACUACGUG